GCGUGACACGUGUCCAUUUGGUGAACAUAGGUAUAUAUAUAUUGAGACAGCAGAAGUUGCUUGGAACAUAACAAUAACCGAGUUUGGUUCCUUAAUGAAUUAGUAAAGAAGUAGUUAAAAAAGAAACAUAUAUAUAUAUAGGCCAAAGUCUCUCUUCUUUCUAAGCUAAGCAUAGGAGGAGGAGAGAAAGUAAUGGCAAAGGGAAUCAGAAACCUAAGUUGUUGGAUGGAGGUUGCUCCGGCACCGGUGAUCUUCCCAACGAAGCCAUCGAAUUCGCCCAGGUUGGAGACAAUUGCUGAAGAAGAAGCUGCUGAGGGAUAUGACCGUCAUCAAAGCAAGCUAUAUAAAUGAAUUCAAGUAGCAAUCCAAUAAUAACUCUCUACUCUUCUUCCAUCCGUGAGAAGCUUCAAUUCCAUGUCAUCAAUUAAUUUUGUAAAUAUUAUCUAGUUUUUUCUCUUUCUUUGUAAUCCAUCAUUCGGCAGAACAUAGUUGCUGUUGCUCAUUAUUUAUGAAAUGAAACUGCAGUUUUUCCUGUGGUUUUAACAAAAUUCAAUCUUCGUCUCUAUUUAUUUAUCCGCUAGUAUGCAUAGUUAAAAAAAAAAUAAAAAAAAAGAGAGACAAAUGAAACAAUUUUGAUGUAGACUUGAAUCGCGUGAACAUAGUAACUGUCAGUGGCAAUUUUGUGUGUUGUCGUCUCUGGAUAUAUUCUUCAAUUGUUUAAUGGGGUUCACACUCGAGAGAUCUUGCACUAUAUGGUACCAAAUCUGUCUUCGAAUCUCUACUGAUUUUUGUUGAUUAGGUAGCGUUUGUUUUGAGAUACUGAGACAGAAACUGAGAGACUGAGACUCCGUAUCAUGUUUGUUGGUUCAGAGACUGGUACUAAAAUUUCUGUUCUGUCUCUAAAAUUUCAGUAUUUCAGUACCUUGAAAAAGUGAGGACAUAGGGGACUAAAAUUUUUAGAGAUGGAAACUGAAACUUUAAUAACAUUUUAUACCUAAAAUACC
rnacentral:lncRNA from 1 species